CCAAACACAUCUUACGCGAUAUCACCAAACACCAUCUUCUCCAAAUCGAUCGAACCCAGCUACAACCCCAAAUCGACUCUCCGCCGUCUCCUCCAAGCACCGCCGUCUCCCUCUCUCACUCUCAGCCGUCCUCUCUCUCUCUCUCACUCUCAUCCGUCCUCUCUCUCACUCGUAAUCUCCAACCGUAGCUCUAAACCAAACCUUCUCUCACCCGUAAGGGAAACGCAGCAUCGCAAACCAUCAACUCAUCCUUCAACCGUGACGAUCCCGAUAUCAAUUGGCGAUUCUCCCUAAAUCUCAAACCCCGGUAUGGAUUCGUCCCCAAAUCCGUAACCCAGUGUCGAUUCAUCCCCAAAUUCCAGACAUCGGUUCGCGCAAAAUCUCUUGAAGAAUUGGUACCACCAUCGAAGGUUCAUUCUUCCACUUCAACCGAUUUCGUCGAUGCCGAUUUGCCGAUUCUUCGUUCGUCAAAGUCUAUCCUCUGCUAUUUAGUUUGGAAGUGAUGUUGGUGAAGCCUUGGAACCACAACGAAAGCUUCAGUUUGGAGUGUUUGAAUGUGACAUGCUAAAGUGUGAGGGAGUUAUAGAAGAGUUUCUUUUAGAAGUAAUCCUAAAUCCUAAAUAAUGAAGUGAUCCUAAAUCCUAAUCAAACUACUAGUGAUAAGUAUUUUGUUGUGCAGAAUCUUAUCAAGGUUGAAUCUUAAUACUUUAUAAUGUCAUGAGUAAAGUGCUUUCAACUAGUCAACUAUGUGAAGAUGGAAAUGUAACAAUAUUAUUUGGACAGAGAACAUCACAAUACAGAGAAUAUCCAUCCAACUCUGCUUUGAGUUUAAUAAAUAAAAGGAAAAUUGAACUCCAAAAGUCAUAGGCCAAAGUGAGUGUGUGGAAGAGUGAAGCAACAGAGCAGGUAUGGCCAGUAAACUCUACUUCUGGUGAACCUUGUACAUGUAAGACUAGUGAAAUUUGUUUUUUUGUGUCUAUGACUGCUUUAACUUUGUGGAAAAUGUGAGUGUCAAAUUUGUGUGUUUUUGUUUGCUCUAAGUUUUAGUUUUACCUUCUAAGUGUCAUUUAUCUCUCUUAUUUGAAAAGUUUAGGGAUUUAGUGAAAGAGAUGAAGCUUGUGCGUGUUAAGUGUUUGAGAACAAUCUGUUUUUGUACUUAGUGUUAGAAAGUAAUAUUUACUUGUGGUUUGUGAGUUGUAAUCUGAAAUGAAUAUCAUUGAACUUGUCUUAACUCAAUUAUCUUAGUGGAUAGAUCAAAUGUAAGAUAACUUGUGUUGCAUUUUUUUCGAUUUUAGAUCAUGUAGUAUGAUACUACCCGAAUGUAAUGUUAAUAUAUAUUAAGUUGGUCAUGUAUACAUAAUGGAUUUGAGCCAUGU